UGGGGAAUCUUGCGCAAUGGGCGAAAGCCUGACGCAGCGACGCCGCGUGGGUGAUGAAGGCCUUCGGGUUGUAAAGCUCUGUGGGGAGAGACGAAUAAGACGCGGCUAACAUCCACGGCGAUGACGGUAUCUCCUUAGCAAGCACCGGCUAACUCUGUGCCAGCAGCCGCGGUAAGACAGAGGGUGCAAACGUUGUUCGGAAUUACUGGGCGUAAAGCGUGUGUAGGCGGCCACGUAAGUUGGAUGUGAA
rnacentral:rRNA from 1 species